UGGGGAAUAUUGGACAAUGGGCGAAAGCCUGAUCCAGCAAUGCCGCGUGAGGGAAGAAGGCCUUAGGGUUGUAAAGCUCUUUCGCCAGCGACGAUGAUGACGGUAGCGGGAGAAGAAGCCCCGGCUAAUUCCGUGCCAGCAGCCGCGGUAAUACGGAAGGGGCUAGCGUUGUUCGGAAUCACUGGGCGUAAAGCGGGCGUAGGCGGCCGGUAAAGUGCGGCGUGAAAGUCCUGGGCUCAACCCGGGGACGGCGCUGCGGACUGUACGGCUGGAGUCCGGAGGAGGGAGGUGGAAUUCCGGGUGUAGAGGUGAAAGUCGUAGAUAUUCGGAGGAACACCGGUGGCGAAGGCGGCCACCUGGUCCGGUACUGACGCUCAAGCGCGAAAGCGUGGGGAGCAAACAGG
rnacentral:rRNA from 1 species